rnacentral:sRNA from 1 species
AUUUCUAGUUUAGACUUAAUUGGCAGUGUCAGGUGCAAGCAUGCAAUUUUGUGUUUUCUUAGUUUGACAACAAGGGCACAGGUUGGGGGAUGGAGAAUGGAAAAUGUGGGUAGGGUCUGAAUCUCAUUGAAGGCUGUUUACCAUUUCCAGAGCCUUUAGAGUGCAAGGCUGCCAUUAGCUCAUAAAUAAGAGAACACCUCCCUAGUUCAGAAGUGGCUCCUGCUGCUACUCAUAUCAUGGGCAGAGUGACUUACACGUGGGUCCUUUGCAGUGAGAGCUUUCUUUCGUUAUGUUCUCUCUCCACUCAUCGGCGGGUGAGGGGCUGUUCUCAGCAGAUAAAUGAGAUGCUUCACGUACUAGGCCAGAAAACAGUUGGGUUGACCUGUCUAUCUCCCUAGAUUCCUUGGGUUUUAAGAGAACUCAUGUAGUGUACCUCAGAUAGCUUUCUAAAGUAAGAAUGAGCUUAGGGGAGAGAAAGUAGCCCACUCUCCCACUUUUUGGUCUUUGAAGGUGUCUUUUGUUCAGCAAUAGAGUCUGCCACAGCCUAUUUCCCAUCCCCUGGUGCUAAGACUCUGGGGCCAUCAGUGGAUUUGUAUAAAGACGUCAGAGUAAAAAAGAGUCCAAAUGCCAGAUGCGGUCUACAUAAUGUAGGGACUAGCAGUAAAGCCCUUGUCUGGUGAAAUUUUGCACAUUCAGUCAUCAUUUUUCAAUCAGUUGGACAUCACGUCCUUCCAUCUCUCACACUAAAACCCCAUGAUGCUGCAGGAAAAAUGCAAAUUCCUCUUCAUCCUUACCAAUAGGAGAGAAUGAAGAUGAGAAACUGAAUGAAGUAAUGCAGGAGGCUUGGAAGUAUAACCGGGAAUGCAAACUCCUAAGAGAUACUCUGCAGAGCUUCAGCUGGAAUGGUCGUGGAUUCACAGAUAAAGUAGAUCGACUAAAACUGGCAGAAAUUGUGAAGCAGACUGCUUGCUGGAACUCACAGGAGGCACACUUGAGCUUGGGGAGCCAACUUCCAUGAUGGAAGAAGAGGGAGGUGCGAUGGAAAAGGUAUCCAAAGUGAUACUUCCUUUGACUCUGAGCAUCUGUGGCCCGUGUUUCAGUCACUUCAAGCUGAAUUCAUGUGGCCCUCAGUGUAAGUGCUGUGUCCAGACACAUCCAAAUGAGCACCAAGCUGGAAGUUUGUGAACACUCUGGAGGAUGCCCCAGCUGUUGUACUGCAACAGCAUGCCUUGAAAAAAACAGUAGCUCCCAAGUGACUCAGCAUGGCUUGGUCUUCGAAAUGGAGUGUUGUUUGUGUAUUCCUAGUCCAGCAGUAAAUUCUGCUUUAACAUAACUGUCAGGUUUGCUACUCGAAA